rnacentral:rRNA from 1 species
UCCGUGCCAGCACCCCCGUUAUACGGAGGAUUCGAGCGUUUUCCGGAUUUACUGGGUUUAAAGGGUGCGUUAGGUGUAUAUUAAGUUAGUGGUGAAAUCUAGUGGCUCAACCACAUAUAAGCCAUUAAUACUGAUAUACUAGAGUACGGAUGCAGCAGGCGGAAAUGUGUAGUGUAGCGGUGAAAUGCAUAGAUAUUACACAGAACACCGAUUGCGAAGGCAGCUUGCUAAACCGUUACUGACACUGAUGCACGAAAGGCGUGGGUAGCGAACGGGAUUAGAUACCCCGGUAGUCCACGCAGUAAACGAUGAUAACUCGUUGUAGGCGAUAUACCGUCUGUGACCAAGCGAAAGCGAUAAGUUAUCCACCUGGGGAGUACGACCGCAAGGUUGAAACUCAAAGGAAUUGACGGGGGCCCGCACAAGCGGAGGAACAUGUGGUUUAAUUCGAUGAUACGCGAGGAACCUUACCCGGGCUUGAAAGUUAGUGACGAACUAAGAGAUUGGUUCUCCCUUCGGGGCACGAAACUAGGUGCUGCAUGGUUGUCGUCAGCUCGUGCCGUGAGGUGUCGGGUUAAGUCCCAUAACGAGCGCAACCCCUAUCGAUAGUUACCAGCGAGUUAAGUCGGGGACUCUAUCGAGACUGCCAGUGUAAGCUGUGAGGAAGGUGGGGAUGACGUCAAAUCAGCACGGCCCUUACGUCCGGGGCGACACACGUGUUACAAUGGUCGGUACAGAGGGCAGCUACCCAGCGAUGGGAUGCGAAUCUCGAAAGCCGAUCUCAGUUCGGAUUGCAGGCUGGAACUCGCCUGCAUGAAGUUGGAUUCGCUAGUAAUCGCAUAUCAGCCAUGAUGCGGUGAAUACGUUCCCGGGCCUUGUACACACCGCCCGUCAAGCCAUGGAAGUUGGGGGUGCCUGAAGUCCGUUACCGUGAGGGACGGCCUAGGGCAAACUCAGUAACUAGGGCU